CCUACGGGAGGUAGCAGUGGGGAAUAUUGCACAAUGGGGGAAACCCUGAUGCAGCGACGCCGCGUGAGUGAAGAAGUAUUUCGGAAUGGAAAGCUCUGUCAGCAGGGAAGAAAAUGACGGUACCUGACCAAGAAGCCCCGGCGAACUACGUGCCAGCAGCCGCGGUAAUACGUAGGGGGCAAUCGUUAUCCGGAUUUACGGGGUGUAAAGGGAGCGUAGACGGCAGGGCAAGUCUGGAGUGAAAGGCGGGGGCUCAACCCCAGGACUGCUCGGGAAACUGCCAAGCGAGAGUGAAGGAGAGGUAAAUGGAAUUCCUGGUGUAGCGGUGAAAUGCGGAGAUAUUAGGAGGAACACCAGUGGCGAAGGCGGGUUACUGGACUGUAACUGACGUUGAGGCUCGAAAGCGAGGGGAGCAAAAAGGAUUAGAUACCCCUGUAGUC
rnacentral:rRNA from 1 species